CCGUGAAGCUGGAUUCGCUAGUAAUCGCGCAUCAGCCAUGGCGCGGUGAAUACGUUCCCGGGCCUUGUACACACCGCCCGUCAAGCCAUGGAAGCCGGGGGUGCCUGAAGUGUGCAACCGCAAGGAGCGCCCUAAGAUAAAACCGGUGACUGGGGCUAAGUCGUAACAAGGUAGC
rnacentral:rRNA from 1 species